AGCUCCAAUAGCGUAUAUUAAAGUUGUUGCAGUUAAAAAGCUCGUAGUUGGAUUUCGGGACGGGUCAGUUGGUCCACCGAAAGGUGUGUUACUGACUGGUCUGUCCUUCUUCGCGAAGACUACGCGUGCCCUUUAUUGUGUGUGCGUAGGAUUUACGACGUUUACUUUGAAAAAAUUAGAGUGUUCAAAGCAGGCUAUCGCUUGAAUACAUGAGCAUGGAAUAAUGGAAUAGGACUUUGGUCCUAUUUUGUUGGUUUCUAGGACCGAAGUAAUGAUUAAGAGGGACAAUUGGGGGCAUCCGUAUUUCGUUGUCAGAGGUGAAAUUCUUGGAUUUACGAAAGACGAACAACUGCGAAAGCACUUGCCAAGAGUGUUUUCAUUAAUCAAGAACGAAAGUAGG
rnacentral:rRNA from 1 species